rnacentral:rRNA from 1 species
ANUUNCCCGCGUGNCCGGCAGGCCUAACACAUGCAAGUCAAGCGGUAACAUUUCAAAAGCUUGCUUUUGAAGAUGACGAGCGGCGGACGGGUGAGUAAUGCCUGGGAAUAUGCCUUGAUGUGGGGGAUAACUAUUGGAAACGAUAGCUAAUACCGCAUAAUGCCUACGGGCCAAAGAGGGGGAUCUUCGGACCUCUCGCGUCAAGAUUAGCCCAGGUGGGAUUAGCUAGUUGGUGAGGUAAUGGCUCACCAAGGCAACGAUCCCUAGCUGGUCUGAGAGGAUGAUCAGCCACACUGGAACUGAGACACGGUCCAGACUCCUACGGGAGGCAGCAGUGGGGAAUAUUGCACAAUGGGCGCAAGCCUGAUGCAGCCAUGCCGCGUGUGUGAAGAAGGCCUUCGGGUUGUAAAGCACUUUCAGUCGUGAGGAAGGUUCAUGCGUUAAUAGCGUAUGGAUUUGACGUUAGCGACAGAAGAAGCACCGGCUAACUCCGUGCCAGCAGCCGCGGUAAUACGGAGGGUGCGAGCGUUAAUCGGAAUUACUGGGCGUAAAGCGCAUGCAGGUGGUUCGUUAAGUCAGAUGUGAAAGCCCNGGGGCUCAACCUCGGAACUGCAUUUGAAACUGGCGGACUANANUACUGUANANGGGGGGUANAAUUUCAGGUGUANCGGUGAAAUGCGUANANAUCUGAAGGAAUACCNGNNGNNAAAGGCGGCCCCCNGGNACAAAUACUGAC